GACGAACGCUGGCGGCGUGCUUAACACAUGCAAGUCGAACGGAAAGGCCUGCUUUCCCUUGUGGAUUGCGGGUACUCGAGUGGCGAACGGGUGAGUAACACGUGAGUGAUCUGCCCCCAACUUGGGUAUAAGCCUGGGAAACUGGGUCUAAUUCCCGAUAGGACUGCAGGGUGGUGCCUGUGGUGGAAAACGAUUUUCUAGUGGUUGGGGAUGAGCUCGCGGCCUAUCAGCUUGUUGGUGGGGUAAUGGCCGACCAAGGCGGGGACGGGUAGCCGGCCGGGGAGGGGGGACGGCCACAUUGGGACUGGGACACGGCCCAGACGCCUACGGGAGGCGGCAGUGGGGAGUCUUGCACAAUGGGCGGAAGCCUGAUGCAGCGACGCCGCGUGGGGGAUGACGGCCUUCGGGUGGUAAACUCCUUGCGACCGCGAGGAAGCCACCUGGUUGGAAGGGUGGUGACGGUAGUGGUAGAAGAAGCACCGGCUAACUACGUG
rnacentral:rRNA from 1 species